CUCGGCUUUACUCGAAGGAGCGUCUGCGUGCACCUGCCCGGCUUUGCCCGCGUGCGUUUGAGCGCAGCACGCGGACGACACGCGGACCCAGGCGGCGCGCGACGGUGUUAGCGGCCUCAGAUCUAAAAUGAUCCGUGUUGUGCUGCGUGGACGCCGCCGACAGGGAAUCGAUGGCCGCUGAGGCGACCCGCGCCGUGAUUUACGCUGGGCAGAAAGGGUUCUGAUGCUGCUGAUGAGAAAAGAGCCGCGGCGAACGGCAGAAAAGGUGCUGGUCGUAACGGCAGGACACAGCGACCCAGAGGGGGACGACGCAGCCCUGACUGAUCCAAAAGGGCCAGGCUGUGAGAAGAAUUCUAUGGAAUAAAGUGGAUUGGAGUACCGGGUUACCAUGGCAACGAGCACCGCAGUUCAGCCAAGGUGCCGACACGCGUCCGCUGGUUCGGAGGCAGAACCGCUCAUCUGUCACAGCGAAGUUGGGUCCGUGCUUGGUCCUGAUCGAGGCGCUUUUUCCUGCUUUCCUGCAUUUACAUGUGAGUUUGAACACAAGCAAGCUGC
rnacentral:lncRNA from 1 species